AUUCCAGCUCCAAUAGCGUAUAUUAAAGUUGUUGCAGUUAAAACGCUCGUAGUUGAAGUUCUGUCAGUGAGAAUAGGUCAACUCUUUGAGUCUGUACUUAUUGUCGCCGACAUUGAUCCGAUACAUCCAGCGGGUCAAUCUGCUGGAUACUCGGAGCUGUUACUUUGAGAAAAUUAGAGUGUUUCAAGCAGGCGUAAAGCCUUGAAUACUCCAGCAUGGAAUAACAAGUAAGGACUCGAGUUCUUCUUGUUGGUUUAAGAACCUGAGUAAUGAUUAAGAGGAACAGUUGGGGGUAUUCGUACUUGGUCGUCAGAGGUGAAAUUCUUAGAUUGACCGAAGACGAACUACUGCGAAGGCAUCUACCAUGGAUGUUUUCAUUA
rnacentral:rRNA from 1 species